GACCUAUAAACCCUGCGGCUCCCCAAGUGCGGCCCGUCCCCCCACCCCCGCCCGUUCCCACUCCUCCCGGGCGGGUGUGGCCUUUAGGGGGCGGGGCCGGGCGCUGGGUCUGCACCCAAGGACCGCCUUUGUCUUCACCUGGCUGCUCGGUCCCCAGUGUCAGGACCGGGAAUUUUAAAGAAUUGCUGAACGUUCGACGGAAAGAUGCGGUAAAACACCCCCAGAGUAUCUUGAACUUUAGCGGAGCACAUGGCUUUCCAGCUAGAGACCACAUCUCGCAGCUUCUUUUGCAGUUUCCUAGAAAAUGGCAACAACCAGGGUGAUCACGUGAGAUGCAAAAAUGGAAGGUAAAGAUUGAAGAUGACAGACUGUCAGAGCCUGUAUGACAUCACGUAGCAGAGCCACCCAGCAGUGUCCCCAGCCCACGGCUGCAGUGUUCCAUGAGGAACAAGUUAACAUUGAUGCUACUUAAGGUAUGUAUUUUAAAGACUUUGUUACCACAGCUUAGCCUCUGUCUUGACAAAUAUAUAAUUUAAGCUCCAAAAGAAUAAAAGAAGGGAAAAAAACAUU